rnacentral:lncRNA from 1 species
AUGGUAACCACACUUGAAUACAUAUCAGCUGGAGUUGUUUCUGCAAUAUGUAUUAAAAUGUAUGGACAUUUUUACAGAAACAGAAAUGAAAAAAAAGGUAUGAAUGAUAAAGUACAUGAUAAUGAUGGUAAUCCCAUUCCAGAAGUUGAUAUAAUAUGUGAUGUAACAAAUAAUUUUGGGAAGUAUUAUGUUAAAGAAGUAGUAAAUAAAAAACAUAUCAUUGGUAUAAUACCCGUUUAUAAAUCUUAUAAUAAAGAAUAUAUAAAUAUGUCUAGGUUUAAUGAUUUUAUGGCUGAGUUAUUUGUUUUUAUAAACUUACGAAAUGGUAAACUUAUAUUAGCAAGUGAAGAUAAUUCUGUUAAUGAUUAUUUCCAAACAAAUUUAGAAAAUAAUUUUAAAGAAAGUGAUGAUAAUAGUAGUGAUAAUGGUAGUAAUGCUGAGAAUGUAUUACUUGCCUCUUGUAUUAUUGUAAAUGAAAAAGUAUCUUUAGUUGUAUGUGUUAUUGAUUAUGAAACAGAUCUUGAAAAACAACUUGAUUUUUUUUUAACAAAUAAAAAAAAUAAUUUAUAUGUAAUUAUAAAUAAUAUAUUUAUAAAUAAUAUAAAAUAUAAUAAAUUUAAAAAUAAUGAAAUAGUAGAAAAAGAUUAUUCAUUAAAUAAAAAAAAAGAAAAUCAUCCAAUGUAUACCUUUUUUCCUUUUUUAAAGUUACUUAAUAUUAGGAAGGAAUAUUUAAAAGAUUUAUAUUUAUUAAUGCAAAUACAUAUGAAUAAUUUUAUUUACUUUUAUAAAAUGUUAGGAAACAGUCAAUAUUCAGAAACCUAUUUAAAUGGAUAUAUGAGUGAUAAUGUUAUAAAUACAAAAAUAUAUAAUUCAUUAAUGGAUAUAUAUCAUAAUUUAAUUUUUGAAGCUAUCAAAAAAGAUAACAAAAAUAUUAAUUUGAAAAAAAUGUAUACACCUAAUAGUCCUAAAUGUGAUUAUACACAAAUGGUAAAAUUAACAUUGAUGAAAUUAGAAAGCAAUCAGUUACUAUUUUAUAUAUAUAAUAUUUAUUCAUAUAUAUAUAAUAAUUUAAUUUAA